GCAUCGCCCACCCGCCUCACGUCCCAGGCCCUCCCGUCCCUCUCCACUGUGGUCCUAAUAGGGGACGCUAGGCCAGGUGCGCUGAGCUUCUCGGAGCUGUCGUGCCUUGCCACGGCGGAGCACCGCGAGCUGCUGAGUCAGCGGGCGGCCGAGGUGCAGUUUGAUGCUCCCUGCAGCAUCCAGUUCACCUCAGGCACAACUGGCAACCCGAAGGCCGCGGUCUUGUCGCAUCACAACGUCGUCAACAACGCUUACGGCAUCGGCUACCGCAGCGGCUACCACC
rnacentral:lncRNA from 1 species